GGUGUUGCAGUUUAACUACAAGCUAUUAUUUAAAAGAGCUGCCCGUUUAUUUUUUUGAAAUUUUGUUGUGAGGGUCCAAGAUUGUCUUUGUGAGUACGGCUUUUUCCAACGAGAAUCUCAGCUGAAACUACUUCUAUGUCGAAAAACAUCAUAGGUAUCAUUGUGUUGAAGGCUCAUAAUAUCCAGCUGGAACCUAUUGACUGAGGCUGCCUUGAUGCUGCUCGGGUUGUGAGCCCAGAGCCUGUCUCCGGCAGGAUGAACAGCUCAGAGGAGUGACGGAUCCUUCACCACCUGAGCCACGCCACUGCCCUCGUGUCGCAGCUCUCCAUUCUAACCGAUGCUGGAGGGACAUAACGGGUUGAUGAGCAGUUAGCGCUUCCAUCAAGAAUCUCCAGAGCCAUCCGUGGAAAAUGAAACCAUCUCUGAACAGGAGGAGUCCAGAUUGCUGUAGGAAGUCAAGCAAGAGUAGAGCAAAAGCACAACCUAAAGAGAGGAUUCCAGUAUUCCUUGGAACUGGACUCCAACCUUCUUGCU